GACGAACCGUGCAAACGUUAUUCGGAAUCAUUGGGCUUAAAGGGCGCGUAGGCGGCGGUGUAAGUUGGAAGUGAAAUCCCAUCGGCUCAACCGUGGAAUUGCUCCCAGUACUGCAUCGCUCGAGGGGGAUAGGGGUCCGCGGAACUACCGGUGGAGCGGUGUAAUGUGUUGAUAUCGGUGGGAACGCCAGUGGCGAAAGCGGCGGACUUGACCCUUCCUGACGCUGAGGCGCGAAAGCUAGGGGAGCAAACGGG
rnacentral:rRNA from 1 species